UCAACGCUGGCGGCGUGCCUCAGACAUGCAAGUCGAACGAUUAAAGCUCUCUUCGGAGAGUGUAUAGAGUGGCGCACGGGUGAGUAACACGUAAGUAAUCUACCCUCGAGUGGGGAAUAACAACCGGAAACGGUUGCUAAUACCGCAUAAUGCAGCGGCACCGCAAGGUGACAGUUGUUAAAGAUUUAUCGCUUGAGGAGGAGCUUGCGGCAGAUUAGCUAGUUGGUAGGGUAACGGCUUACCAAGGCUACGAUCUGUAACCGGUCUAAGAGGACGGUCGGUCACACUGACACUGAAUAACGGGUCAGACUCCUACGGGAGGCAGCAGUCGGGAAUUUUGGGCAAUGGGCGAAAGCCUGACCCAGCAACGCCGCGUGAAGGAUGAAGUAUUUCGGUAUGUAAACUUCGAAAGAAUAGGAAGAAUUAAUGACGGUACUAUUUAUAAGGUCCGGCUAACUACGUG
rnacentral:rRNA from 1 species